UUCCAGGUAGUUUAAUGGUAAAGCACCCAACCGGCAAUUGGGGGAUCUGGGUUCAAGUCCCAACCCGGACU
rnacentral:tRNA from 1 species